AGGCACUAUUUAUAUAAUGGUGUUUAGAAACCUAUUUAAGAAAUGAGAUUUAGUAUGUGUAAAAAAUAUAUAAUAAUAAUAAUAUGUACAUCAUGUGUGAAGAAAAAUUAUACUCAAGAUACAUGUAAAAUAUAUCUUUGUUUGUAAAGCAUCUGGCUAUAAAGUAUAAAGUGUGAUACACUCUGCAAUGUAGAUAAUCAUCGUUAUGCUGACUGUUUUAGGGGGUGGUGCGAGACUUCACUUGAGUCUCAGCCAAACUCAGCACAAAAUCAGAGUAAUAUUUUACCAGUAACUGGUGAUUGGUUGGCUAGUCAUCUGGGUGGAGGUGGCUUUGAUCUAUCGGUAGUUUGAAUGAACAAUUAUGAUUUUCCUGGUAUGUUCUAGAUUUUAAAUUAAUGAAUUGUUCUGUUUGUUGCCUUUGUUUUCAGGCCUGUAGUUUACAUUGAAAGUGUACAUGGUGUCCUGUUAAGUAGCUUUGUACAUGCUCAUUGUUGUACAAUUAUUAAACUGCUUUUAAAGAGGUAAUUAUUAUGGGAGCAAUUUUGAUACAUGUCCAUGUGUACAUAACACUCCUGUAGUAUAGAUUGAGUACUAAGGGGACCUUUCAUACCGAGAUAAUAAAGUAUUUU
rnacentral:sRNA from 1 species